AUGCAGAGGACAGUGCACGAUCUCAAAAUUUGGGCAAAGUCUCUCUUUAGCGAUGCAAAGGUUCAGUUCCACUUGGCGUGCGAAGUAAUCUUGAGACUCGAUAUAGCUCAAGAAAAAAGAGGUCUGACGCAACAAGAAUUCUGGUUAAGGAAACAACUAAAACUUCAUACCCUUGGACUGGCUGCAGUAGAGAGAGCAAGGAAAAGACAGGCUUCAAGGAUAACCUGGCUCAAGGCGGGAGAUGCAAGAACGGCCUUCUUCCAAGCAAAGAUCAUCUCCAGAAGGUGGAAGAACUUUAUACACUCCCUGCAAACAGAAACAAGGACAGCCACUGCGCACGAGGAAAAGAAAGCAAUUGCUCAUGAUCACUUUGCAAAUCUGCUGGGGAAAAAGGAGGAAAGGCGAUGCUCCAUCAACUGGGAGGAAUUGGAUAUGCCAAGUAUUCAAAACGAGGGGCUGGACAAUCCUUUCUCGGAGCCUGAAGUUUGGGCUGCCAUCAUGGCAUCUCCAGCAGAGAAAGCGCCAGGCCCUGACGGCUUUUCGGGAACUUUCUUCAGAGCUUGCUGGGGUACCAUUAAAGACGUCAUGGCAAUGUUCGAUCACUUCUACAACCUAGCUGAUGGUAACUUUGCUGAAAUUAACUCAGCAAUGAUCACCCUCUUGCCCAAGAAGGACGGAGCCACUAGAAUGAACAACUACAGACCUAUAAGUCUGAUACAUUCCAUCGCCAAGCUGAUCACUAAAGUGCUAUCCAUGAGGCAGGCGGCCAUUAUGGACAAGAUUAUCUCCCCUGCUCAAACGGCCUUUCAACGCGGGAAAUGCAUCCAUGACAGCUACCUUUACGUGCAAAAUUCUGCCUGA
rnacentral:rRNA from 1 species